CAUGCCGCGUGUGUGAAGAAGGCCUUCGGGUUGUAAAGCACUUUCAGCUGUGAGGAAAGGCGAGUGGUUAAUACCCGCUUGCUGUGACGUUAACAGCAGAAGAAGGACCGGCUAACUCCGUGCCAGCCCGUCGGUGACUGAGCGGGCUGGCAAGGCGCAUA
rnacentral:rRNA from 1 species